rnacentral:rRNA from 1 species
CACGUAGGGGGCAAGCGUUGUCCGGAUUUACUGGGCGUAAAGGGCGCGUAGGCGGCCAGCGCAAGUCAGUUGUGAAAUCUCCGGGCUUAACUCGGAACGGUCAACUGAUACUGCGCGGCUAGAGUGCGGAAGGGGCAACUGGAAUUCUCGGUGUAGCGGUGAAAUGCGUAGAUAUCGAGAGGAACACCUGCGGCGAAGGCGGGUUGCUGGGCCGACACUGACGCUGAUGCGCGAAAGCCAGGGGAGCGAACGGG